rnacentral:rRNA from 1 species
UACGUAGGGCGCAAGCGUUAUCCGGAAUUAUUGGGCGUAAAGAGCUCGUAGGCGGUUUGUUGCGUCUGCUGUGAAAGACCGGGGCUCAACUCCGGUUCUGCAGUGGGUACGGGCAGACUAGAGUGAUGUAGGGGAGACUGGAAUUCCUGGUGUAGCGGUAGAAAUGCGCAGAUAUCAGGAGGAACACCGAUGGCGAAGGCAGGUCUCUGGGCAUUAACUGACGCUGAGGAGCGAAAGCAUGGGGAGCGAACAGG